CUGUUCGCCAUUUAAAGUGGUACGCGAGCUGGGUUUAGAACGUCGUGAGACAGUUCGGUCCCUAUCUGCCGUGGGCGUUGGAAACUUGAGAAGAGCUGCUCCUAGUACGAGAGGACCGGAGUGGACGUAUCUCUGGUGUUCCGGUUGUCACGCCAGUGGCAUUGCCGGGUAGCUAUAUACGGACGGGAUAACCGCUGAAAGCAUCUAAGCGGGAAGCCCCCUUCAAGAUUAGGUUUCUCUGGACCCUAGAGGUCCCUGUAGAGCCCUCGAAGACUACGAGGUUGAUAGGCUGGGUGUGGAAGUUCAGUAAUGAAUGAAGCUAACCAGUACUAAUUGCUCGUGAGGCUUGGCCAU
rnacentral:rRNA from 1 species